rnacentral:lncRNA from 1 species
GCUGUUGUAGACGUUUAUUAACAAAGAACUGGGGUGUCCCCCCCCCCCCGCACCUGGCUCCGGGGCACGGGCCAGGAUCGGGGGUGUCCGUGUCGCCCCCCCGGCGGGUCCAGCACAGCCGGAGCCCCCAGAGCCCCUUUGGAACCUUCAAUGACCGACGGCGCAUCCCGGCUCCAGCGCCGGCACCGCAGCUUCCCGAGGGAUGUGGGGGGGAGCGGGGGGGGGGUCUUCCCUCCCUCCCUCCCUCCUUCCCGGUGCUUCCUGAGGCUCCCAGUGUCCAGGUGCUGCCGGGAUCACGGCGGGAGCGAGCCCGGGGCCGGAGCGGCCGCUCGGGGCCGGCGGAGAGCCUGGUGGUCCUGGGGGGAGAGCGGGACUCCGGGUCCCCCCCUUUAGAUCUGGAGUCCCCUCAGCACCUCUUAUCUCAUCCUCCGCCUCCUGCUCCGCGUCGAGCCUCACUUCAUCCCUCUGGGGGGACUCCAGGGGGCUCAGCCCUAUAAGGGGGGAGACCAGGGUGAAGCUCCCUUGUUCCCCCAUAUCCCAGCUCUAGUGCCCCCCACUUGGGGAUGGGGGGCACAUGCGGGUCCUGCCCCAUUGCGGGCGGGGGGUGGCGCUGGGGUUUGGGGGACGCACUGGGGGGUGCUUCCUCCUUGUUCAGUGACCCUGUGCUGCCGUCGUCCUCCUCCUCCUCCUCCUCUUCCUCCUCCUCCUCGCUGCCAUCUUCAUCCUCAUCCUCUUCGCUGACAUCCUCCCAUUGCUCUUCCUCCUCCUCCUCCUCCUCCUCCUCCUCGGGGGUCAGGGAAUGGGGGGGCUCCAGGGGGGGCUCGGUUGGUGUUUCCUCUGUCUAUGGGCAUUCAGACUCUCGGCCGCGGGCGCUGGCUCUGGCUCCUUCUCCUCCCAGCGGUUGUCGUGCAUGCUG